rnacentral:rRNA from 1 species
UACGAAGGGGGCUAGCGUUGCUCGGAAUCACUGGGCGUAAAGGGUGCGUAGGCGGGUCUUUAAGUCAGGGGUGAAAUCCUGGAGCUCAACUCCAGAACUGCCUUUGAUACUGAGGAUCUUGAGUUCGGGAGAGGUGAGUGGAACUGCGAGUGUAGAGGUGAAAUUCGUAGAUAUUCGCAAGAACACCAGUGGCGAAGGCGACUAUCUGGACAGAUACUGACACUGAGGCGCGAGAGCGUGGGUAGCAAACAGG